rnacentral:lncRNA from 1 species
ACGCGUGCGCGGAGGGGCUGCGCUACCCGGUCUUGGGUUUUUCAUCGGGGAGUGGGAGUGGACUGAAGGCUUGGCCGCUCCGCCUCACUGAGCCGGCUCAGCCAGCGCAGCUGUUCCUGGAACGCCAGUCCCUUAGGAUGGGAGAGAGCGGAGAAGGCAAAGAGGAACAGACUGGGAAAGAGACUGGAUAGAUUCUAAUAUGGCUACAUCCUGGUGGGAGGCAGGACACUGAAGUACUUAGAACCCCUCAGAAUGGCCAGAUCCUGCUCAUGCUUGGGCUAGAAGAAUGGAACCUUUGUAAUUCUGGACUUGUAAAUGGAAACACAUCACUUACUGUGAACCACAUCCCAGACAGACAUGGGCAGGUGAAAACAAAUUCUUCCAGGGUCUGCUGCCUCAUGGACUGGCUGUGCAGUGUGGAAAAUCAUCUGUCCUGCCUCUUAACCAACUUGAUAAUGAAGACUCGGUAAAAAUAGGACAGUCAAUUUUAAAAGGCAGCAUGAGUCACGCGUGUGAGGCUGCACAGUCGCAGAAGGUGGUUUGUAUGGAACCAAAUUCACUUUCAGAAACAGUCUCCCAGUGCAGAAGCACCUCCUCUCCUCACCCCUGCCAGUGUUCACUGUCUUACAGGCAUCUUUUCUUCACCAGUUCAUCGUUUUCAAAAGAAGUUUAAAAAGAGACUUGGAAUAAACCAAAAUCAAACAAACACAGCAAACACCUCACUUACACUGCAGUUAAAUGACUGGAAAGUUACCUGCCUUCCUUGAGGUGGGAAGGUUGCCCCAUGGAGGCUCACAGUGGUCCUUCAGAGCCCCAGAGACACUCACAUCGGUGAGAAAAUGCAGUUGGGCUGGCAACAUAUUUCACACUUUCAUGUUUCAAUGCCUUAGGCUGGUCUUCUGAACUUCCCAGGAAAAGAUAAAAUGCUGUAAGUUCCCAGGAAGGUGCGUGAGCCACCCUUUGGCUUAGGGGGCUUUGCAGCCUCUCCUUUAAUUCAAGUAGAAAACUCUCCUUCUGCAUGCUUAUUCACAGUAGAAGGCAAAUGUGCACAUGCACACACAUGCGCCAAAUAGACACACAUACACAUACAUACCACAUGCACACACACUAAACACACAGACACAUCACACACAGACACACAUCCUACACACACAAAUACACGCCACACACAUCCUAUACACACAGAAACACACCACACACGCCCCACAUAGACACAUACACACCACACACACUCCAUACACACAGACACACACCACACACCCCAUACACACAGACACACACACCAUAUACACACCACAUAGGCACAUACACACUACACAGAUACACAUAUACAACACCUGCCCGUACACUAACAUAUCACAGACACAUCACACACCACAUGCACACACACUGCACACACAGACCCCACACACAGACACACACCCUAUACACACACACACCAUAUAAACCCCACAUAGACACAGACACACAUAUACAACACCUGCUCAUACACGAACACAUCAUAAACAGACAUAUCACACACCACAAAAACCAUGCCACAUAGACACAGAGCACAACAUACAGACAUCACAGAUACCACAUACACAGCACACACACACUUCACACACACACGUCACACACCACACCACAUGCACACACACACUUCACACACACACAUCACACACGACACCACAUGCACACACACAGACACAUGCCACGUACACACAUACCACACACAUACAGACAUCACAGAUACCACAUACACAGCACACACACACUUCACACACACACACAUCACAAACAUACUUCACACACUACGAGACACUGAGUCACACAUACACACACCGCAUGCACAUACACACCCUACAAACACACCACACACUACACAUUCACACACCGCCACCACACCCUUACACCACACACACACAAACACAUACACGUAACACAUAUACCGAACACAUGCCACACACAUUCACACACCACGUACACAUAUACACACAGAUUGUUUUUUGAAGAAUGCAAAGAGUAAAUAGUGAUUAAAGACCAUUUAAACCUGAGAUCCAAAUUUGAAAAUAGCUUAAUUUCUCCUAAGUUGACUUUUUAGAAUUACACUAUUUCACAUUCCUAUAGUGACUUACUUAGGAUGAGUUUUACUUACCAAGAAUUCUUACAAAUUACAAGGAAGAAAAAUGUAAAAACUGUAAUUUUGAUCACGAACGUAUCUUAUCUUUUCUACGCAAGGCAUACAUUAUACAGAAAAUAAUGACAUCGACUCAGUAUCUUUUCCUCUGCUGACCUUAAAGGAUAAAUGUCUUUUACAAUGGCAUAUUUUCCCCUAUGAGAUUGUAAAUAUGUCUUAGUGCAUAUGAAUGCUGCUUCUGCUUUCUGUGUUAUAAAAAUAUUACAAGGCACUCUCCAUUCCUCUGGAAUUCAGAAAUUUUCACAGAGUCUUCACUAAGUAGGGACAAAAGAAUGCAGGCUUUGGAGAAGUGAUCAUGGAGAUGCUAUCCUGACAGGGAGAGCUGAAGAAGCCCAUUGAGCUGCAGGUUCACAAGUUCAAUUAUUUUCAGAGAUGAUAGCAACUCUGUAAACACAGGCCACAGAUGUGUCACUAGCCAUUGUUCAGAAGGCCAAGAAUAUUAGAAAGAAUCUUACAGGAAAGAGAAGUUGUCUUUCUUUACACUUCACCUGGUGUGAGUAUCACCUUGGGCCAGAUAACCAUAAGGAAGAUGGCUUUAAGACAAUCAAACACAGCUGCUAUGGAAAACGGUAUGGAGGUUUCUCAAAAAAUUGAGAAGAGAGCUACAUAUAACCCAGCAAUUCCAUGCUGGGUGUAUAUUCAAAGGAAGUGAAAUCAGUGUUGCAGAAAGAUACCUGUACUCCCAUGCUCAUUGCAUUAUUCACUAUAGCCAAGAUGUGGAAUCAACCCAAAUGUCCAUCAACAGAAGAAUGAGCAAACAAAACGUGGUAUACACAAAUAAUAGUUCAAUAUUUUUCAACCUUAAAAGAGAAGGAAAUACUGCCAUUCAUGACAAUAUGGAUGCAUCUGAAAAACAUUACAUUAAGUAAAAUAAACUAGUCACAGAAGGAUCAAUGCUAUGUGACUCUGCUUAUACGAGGUAUCUUCAAUAGUCAAACUCAUAGAAACAAAUCCAUCACUGAGUACCAGAGGCUUGAGGGAGGGGGACAUUGUUGUUCAAUUGGUGUAAAGUUCAGUCAUUCAAGACAAAUAAAUUCUAGAGAGCUGCUACUUACGGGUCCCUACAGUUGUGUUAGUCUGUUCUCGCACUGCUAUAAAGAAAUAGCUGAGACUGGGUAAUUUAUAAAGAAGAGAGGUUUAAUAGGCUCACUGUUCCACAGGCUGUACAGGAAGCAUGUCUGGAGGCUUAAAACAACCACAUCUUGUGAAAACUCACUCACUAUUGUGGCCAAGGAGGAUGGUGCUCAACCAUUCAUGAGAACUCCACUCCCAUGACCCAGUCGCCUCCCACUAGGCCCCACCUUCAACACUGGGGAUUACAAUUUGACAUGAAAUUUGAUGCAAACACAGUUCUGAACCAUAUCAGUAGUUAACAAUACUGUACUGUGCACUGAAAAAUGCAUGAAAAACAUAGCUCUCAUGUUGAAUGUUCUUACCAUAAAAAGAAAAAAGGACACAAGAAAUUCUUUGGAAGUAACAGACAUGUCUAUUACCUUGAUUGUGGUAAUGGUUUCACAGGUGCAGGUGGAUGUCCAAACUCAUUAAAUUUUAUUCAUUAAAUAUGUGCAAUUUUUUGUAUAUCACUUAUACCUCAAUAAAACUGUUUUUAAAAA